rnacentral:lncRNA from 1 species
UACCUACCUAUGCAUCCACACCCCAUUCUACCUCAUCAAAUUUCGCUUUGAAACUCUAAUUAUUUCAUUUCUAUCUUAUCUCUCAUCUCAUUCUCUCUCUCACGUAGAAGACAUCGUCGGAAAAUCGUUGGUGGAAGAAGAGAAGACGCUAUUGGAAGACGUCGUCGAGCCUCAGGGCGAAGUCACUACAGCUAUUACGCUGGCGCCCGUGUCUUCGUGUGCUACAGUCGAUGCCACAGCAGCGGCUCUGUGUGCGUCUCAGCACACUACAGUCGUCGGCCUAACCAGUGCCAGAGGAAAUUUCAGAUCUGAUUUUGUAAAGCUGUAAAAGAAAUCAAGUUCCUAGAUUUUAAAAAUGUUGUUAACCCUUGCCAAAUCACAUCCUUAAUGUUAGAAGCUCAGAACAGUAGCUGGGCUUGAAACCAUAGUGAAUAUCUUUUUAAAACAUUUGAUCAU